AAGAUGUUCCCUGAGCUAAUAUAUGUUGCCAAUCUUCCUCUUUUUGCUUGAGGAAGAUUGAGCCUGAGCUAACAUCUGUGCCAAUCUUCCUCUAUUUUGUAUGUGGGUCGCCAUCAGAAUGUGUCAGAUGAGUAGUGUAGGUCUGUGCCCAGGACCUGAACCAGGGAACCCAGGUCACCAAAGCAGAGUGUGCCGAACUUAACCACUGUGCCAGCCCCUAAAACUGAGUUUUUGACAUAUCAUUUUCCUUCUUCCUUAAUAACUUCUGUCAACAUUUCAUACAGAAUUUACAGAGUAAAUUCCCUCAGUUUUCAUCUGAGAAAGGCUUCAGCCUUCACUUUUGAAGGAUAAUUUCACUGGCUAUAGAAUUCUAGGUUGAUAGGUUAUUUUUUGGCAGUUUUCUUUUUUUUUUAACAACACGUUAAAUAUUUUGCUCUACUCUCUUCUUGCAUACAUGUUUUCUGACAUCAAAUUUUAACAAAACUAUAAAGAGGAUUCUAAUUAAAAGAUAAAAAAAUUUUUCCCCUUUUCCACACAGCUAAAAUGCCCAUAGAUAUAUAUACAUAUAGUUUCUAAAAAUGUAUUUACUCCCUAAAUAAUAAAAAUAAUUGCUUUAAUGCUGAAAUAAGUUAAGUAAAGCUGAUUUUUUAUAUUUUCCUGUUAUCUAUUACAUAUGUGCAUGGAUCUUUGUUCCUGUGUCCCCAAUUCUUCGUAGGGCCUUCAUCUCUCUCCUUUUCUCCUUGGUGAGUUCCAGGUUCUAUUGAUUUGGGAAGAGACAGCCUAGACAUGACUUCGUGUUGAUAAGUGAGAAAGGGAGCCAUCUCUGCCAGAAAGCAGUAAAAUUCUCACAGAAUGCAAGUCAGACAAAGCAUGGGUCACUUCCUGGCAGAAAUCUCCUUUUUCUAGCAGCCCAAUUCACUGUCUACAUUCAAGGUUGUAAAAAAGUAGAUUCACCUGGGGGAGGAAUCCCUAACAGCUCUUCAAAGAGACAUGUUUUUGUGUAGAAUUUUUUUGCUUGAUUAUCAAUAGUCUGUUCACCACUUGGUUUUUCUCAACCUCAUUGAACCUCCCUAAGUAUGGUAGCAUAUUUUAUCUGAACUUUAGAAAUUCAGGUAGGAAUCUAGGGGCUUCUGCCCCUUUGGGAGGGCUUCUUGACCGAAUCUACAUGUUUCUCCCACAUAAGUAAGCCCAGUAGAUGUACAUCAUCUUCCUGAUUUGAUGGGAAAAAAUUCAAAGUUUUUCUUACAUAUCAGAGAUGUUGAAAUUCCAUCCCCUAAUGUAAACAUGAGUACUUCUCCAAAUAUUUCUGGACAUUUAAAGCUAUAAUAUCUCAAAAUAUUUGUGGGUUAGCCUUAAUAAUAAAAAGCAAAACUUGUUAAUUUCCCCAGCUCUGUCACCUCAGCUUUUCUUGAACUCCAGUGGAGGCCAAAAAGGUCUUAGAUAAGUUAAACUAAUUAAAUGAAAUUAGAUUUAUUUCUGUCUGGGAGUGAGGAGGAAAAGAUUAUUAUGAUCAGAGAGACUAGAAGACUACAGAAGGUAAUAGAAUAGCUGACUGGAUUCUUAAGAACAUUGUGAACAUUUAAAAGACUGAACAAAUACUUUUUAUUUUAAAAUGCUCAAAGUAAUAUGAGACAUGUUUUAAAAAUUAGAUUACUUCUUUUAAUCAGUCUUUCACUUCUCUACUCCAUCUUACUCUUCACAUUAGAUACCUUUUCUUUUUAAACUAUUCAUGGAACCAUAACAUUACUAGGGGAAACUGCAUAAAUCAAAAUAAAUAAAAAUGUACAACUCAGUGUUGAAGAGUGAGCAUUCCCCUGUAAGCAGUACCCAGGUCAAGAAACGGAACAUCACCAGCUCCUCAAAUGCCCCCUUCAUACCUUCCCAGCCACUAUCUCCCCCCUUAAAGGUAACCAGAAUCCUGACUUUUAAUACAAUAGAUUGGUUUUGCAUUUGAACAUUAUAUAAAUGAAAUCAUACAAUAGGUAUUUUUUGUGACCAUUGAUUAUUUUACUUUGAACAUUUGGGUGCUUCUAGUUUGGGGCAAUUAUAAAUAGAGCUGCUAUGAACACGUUUGGUGAACUUAAGACUGCGUUUCAGUUGGAUAUAUGUACCUAGGAGCGGAAUUGCUGGGUCGUAGGGUUUGGGUUAUGUUCAGCUUUAGUAUAUAGUGCCAUCAGUUUUCCACAGUAUGGUUAUAUCAAUUUACACUCCCACCAGCCAUACUACAGAUUUUUUUAAUUGUCAAGUCAUAAAUUUGGAGGCAAUGAUUGUGCUGAGACAAAUCUGAAUAAAUGAAGGCCACUGUUAAUUCCUGUGACAAUGCUUUAAUUUAUAGAAACCGGACUUCUUGGGUAGGCCCCAGAGGGUCUCUGUGCACCCUGAAAAUAUGUACAAUAUUUUUGCACAUUAUGCAUGUGUGCAUGUGUGUAUUUUGGACAGAGAAGAAACACAGCUUGUGUCAGAUUCUCAAAGAUCAGAUUUCCCUACUUUGGAAAACUGGUGGCGAUCUAUACUAAAGCAAAACAUAAUCCAGUCCUUGACAAACACACAAAAAAGUUAAGAAUGAUUGCUUCAUGGGAGCCCAGCAAUCAAGAAGCUAUUAUUACUCAGGAAUACUUGGCUUGCUAUUAGCAAACACUGUUCUAGGUUGGUAGUGGUGCGUUGACAUAGACAGUCUGAAUAGCCAGGUUUCCUGUGGCUAACGGAGAGGGAUUAACACUUUUGACUGCUUAAUUUUCCUUUUAUUUUUAGUAGGUUAAAAUCCUUUAUUGACAUAGCUUCAUGAUGUUUUGAUAACUUUUUAUAAUAGCCUUAUUGAUAUAAUUCACAUACCAUAUAAUAUACCGAAAGUGAAAAAUUCAUUGGUUUUUUAAUAUAUUCACAGCAUUGUGCUAUCAUCACAAUCAAUUUUAGAAUAUUUCAUCACCCCAGAAAAAACACCGUACCCAUUAGCAGUCAUUCCCCAUUUCUCCCAGUUCUAGGCAAACGCUAAUAUACUGUCUACCUCUAUAGAUUUGCCUAUUCUGGAUUACUCAUAUAAAUUCAUGCAAUAUAUGUCUUUUGUGAUGCUUCUUUCACUGGGCAUAAUGUUUUCAAGGCGCAUCCAUGUUGUGGUAUGUAUCAGUGCUUCAUUUAUUUUUAUUGCCGAAUAAUAUUCCACUGUAUGGAUAUACCACAUUUUAUUUAUCCACCAGUCAAUGGACUUGGUAAUUAUUUUAAAUGAUGCCUAUAUAGAAUAUAAGGCCAAAACAAAAUCUAUGUUUCCUCUCCUAAACCUCCCACCUCAGAUGUCACCAUAUUAGUACAUGGUGCCAUCAUUCACCUAGUUGCUCCAGCCCAAAACUUUGAAGUUAUCCUUGAUUCUCACAACAGCAAAUUCUGUUGGUUGUACCUUCAAAAUAGACCCCACAUCCAGCCAUUUUCAGCCUUCUCUGUAACUACUACCCCCUAGUAGUUACAAGUCCCUAGUCCAAGCCACUGUCAUCUCUUCCCUGAACUUUUAUAAAAGCCUAAUUGAUUUCCUGCUGCUGCUUCCACACUUGGCCCCAACAGAGCAGCCAGAGUGAUCCGUUUAAUACAUAAAUCAACCUGUGUUACUCCCCUGCUCAACACCAUCUCCUGGCUGCCCGUCACACACAAAAUAAAAUCCAAAGCCUUUCCCACGGCCUGAAAGCCAAAAGUGAUCUGAUCCUUGCCUACAUCUCCUCUUUUUCUCUGGCUCUAGCUACAGUGACCUUGCUGUUUCUCAAGUUAACAUGUCCCUGUUUCAGGAGCUCUGCAUUUACUGUUCCCUCUGCCUGGACCAGUUCUCCUCCAGACAGCAGCUUGGCUCACUCGCCCACUUCAUUCAGAUCUCUGCUCAGAUAUCUCAGGUCCUCCCUAAUCCCUCUGUCUAAACUAUCACCUCCUCCCACCCAGUCACAAAUAGAUUACUAAACAUACUUUAUACCCCAGAUGUUGGGCUAGUUUUAGUGAAACUCCAGUCUUUUUUAUUGGCUUUAAUUCUAAGUUCCCCUCUUCCUAAUGCUCAGCAAUUUAGCUAUAUCAAGGGUAAAAGUGUGAUUUAAAUCAUUCCCUUAGUGAUCAUAGUUUUUAUAUAUUACUCUUUUUUCUUUUUUUUGUGAGGAAGAUUCACCCUGAGCUAACAUCUGUGCCAGUCUUCCUCUACUUUGUAUGUGGGAUGCCUCCCCAGCAUGGCUGGUGAGUGGAGUAGGUCCACACCUGGGAUCCAAGCCUGCGAACCCCAAGCUACUGAAGCGGAGUGUGCAUAACUUUAACCACUCGGCCAUGGGGCUGGCCCCUAUAUAUUACUCUUAAGCAGAGCUUGGAGUUAGAAAUAUCUUAGCUUGUAUCAGAAAGUGUUUUCCAAAAGAACUUGUUUAUCUUUUAGAUACUUAAACUAAUCUCUUAAACAUAUUCAUAAUAUAUUUUCACCAUAAUUGCCCAAACCUGAUUCGACCAAUAGUUUCCAUUUUCUUCCUCUACAUGACCUAGCUUGAACUUAACCUGCCUUCUUUUAUCCCUUUCCUCUAUCCAGUCGAGCCAUACAUUCAACUGGUUACCAAGUUCUGUUGGUCUAAGUUCUUAAUAUGUCUCAUUUUUCUAUGCCCUUCCAUUCCUAUUGCCACUGCCCCUUGUCAAUAAGCCAAAAAUGGAAUCUUUAGACCUUGGAAAAUUAGCAGUGGUUGGUGAUUCUGGGCAAAAAUAUGAAGAUCGUUUCCUACACUCCUUUAUACCCUCUUUUAUUAUCCGCACACUUCCCUAAGGCAGGUGAAAAACAGAGGGGAUUUUUAUUUGUUUUGUAUUGUGUUGUUUUCACUUAAGCUUUUUAUUGAAAUAUACAUACAGAAAAGUGCAAAUAUCAUAACUGUGCAGCUCAGUUUUCACAAACUGAAUGCACCCAUGUAACCAGCACCAGGAUUAAGAAACAGAACAUUACUAGCACUUCAGAAACCCCGCUCACGCUCCCUCCCAGCCACUACCCUCCAAGGGCAACUGACCUGCUGACUUCUAACAACAUUGACCAUUUUUACCUUAACAGAGUUUUUCAGAUAAAUGGAAAAAGCUUAAAUGGGGGAAAAGUUGAGGAAAAGCACAUCUUAGAAGCCUGAAAUGAAAAGGAAAAGAAGUUGGGAAGGAGAAGUCUAGACAAUCGAAAAAGAAGAAAAAGGAAGAGGAAAAGAGGAAAGGAGAGGGAAUGAGAGAAAGCAGAGGUUUGAAGAGAGAGAAUCAUGCUACCUGGUUGGCUGCCCAAGAAACCCAACUUACACAGUUGUAUAUUUUAGUUGUGCAUCCUUCUAAUUGUGGCAUGUAGGACGCCACUUCAGCAUGGCUUGAUGAGCAGUGCUAGGUCCACGCCCAGGAUCCGAACCAGUGAAACCUUAGGCUGCCGAAGUGAAGCUGUGAACUUAACCACUCAAGCCCCUACUUAAUCCAAGCUUAAAAUGGUAACUGAUAAUGUUGAUUUGGUAUCUUCUGGAUAAUAUAUUUGCACUUUAACCAGGAACUUAAAUGCAAUGGAAGGCAGAGGUGAGAUAUUUAUGAGAAGAGAGGCUUUUUUAUUCUCAGAGGAAAAAUUAUAAAAGUCUUUGAAAUGGGCAAAAAUGUUAUUGGGUAUUGUCUAGAGGAGCCUUCAGAGUUAUUUGAUCUAUGCCUUUCAUUGUCUUUGAACUAUUUUACAAUUUGUAAGUUGAGAGAACUGAUGGCAAUGCAAAUGAUUCAUAUACAUAGAAAGACAAGUGAAUUUUGUCCAGUGAGAUAUGAUUGAAUUCCACCCUAUGGAAAAGAUAAUUCCAAACAUUAUAUUUUUUGCCCCAUAAAUAAUGACCAAUUUUACAACUAUUAAGAAAUUCUUUUCCACAUUCCUAAUUGCCCAUAUAUGUGUUGGUCUUCAGAUUCUCUUUUGAACCAGUUUAACAUCUUACUAGUUCCCUCAUUUGCAUGAGUUAUGAUUUUACUUUUUUGAAAAUUAUCUUUAAUACUGAAUUGUUCUGAUCACUUAGCUACUUUCCCGAGGGUACUCUUAAGGCCAGCCCUAAGAGUAAAUGUGUAGAAGAGGCAAGGAGAGGCUUCAGCUGGGUUAAUUUCCUGGUAUUCUCAGUCUGGCCCAUCAGAGGGUGCUAAUGAUGUGUGUCUUAACCUAGAUGUUCCUGCCCCCCCUUCUUCUACAGAAUGUUGCUUAAGCACUGAUGAAUUUUAUAGUGUUGUUCCCAGACAUCUCAUCUCACACCCUGAAAAGAUGUAUGUCUUGCCCUGAAAAAUUAAGGCAUAAGGAAGAAUAAAAGACUGAAAGAUGAUGAAUAAACAUGGAAGAAGUUCAGAUCCUCUUCUCUCCUUACUUUCCCUCCUCCAAUCUGCUCUUCUCCGUGUAUUUGCUUUUCUGUAAAUGGCACCACCUUUCUUUCAAGAAGUUGGAAUUCAUUCACCUUUAUUCCCUACAUCCAAUAUCAUUUGUCUCGUCAGCUCGUCUCCAAUCACAGGGCCCCUGGCUUUGAUCAGGCCUCUCAAGUCCUGCCUGGAUGACCACAAUCAGAGAUCAGCUGGUCUCCCUCUCCCCUCCAGUCCAAUUCCCACAUGGCUACCAGAGUUACAUCUUUCCAAAUCCAACAGAAUUGAAAGCUCAGAAAUAAAACCACACAUCUAUGGACAGCUAAUCCUUGACAAAGGAGCCAAGAACAUACAAUGGAGAAAGGAAAGCCUCUUCAAUAAAUGGUGUUGGGAAAACUGAACAGCCACAUGGAAAAGAAUGAAAGUAGACCGUUAUCUUACACCUUACACAAAAAAUUAACUCAAAAUGGAUUAAAGACUUGAAUAUAAAAUCUGAAACCAUAAAACUUCUAGAAGAAAUUAUAGGCAAUACACUCUUUGACACUGCUCUUGGCAGCAUCUAUUUGAACACCAUGUCUACUCAGGCAAAGGAAACAAAAGAAAAAAUAAACAAACGGGACUAUGUCAGACUUCUGCAAGGCAAAGGAAACCAGGAACAAAACGAAGAGACAACCCACCAAUUAAGAGAAAAUAUUUGCAAAUCAUGUAUCUGACAAGGGGUUAAUUUCCAAAAUCUAUAAAGAACUCAUACAACUCAACAACAAAAAAAGAGACAACUCAAUCAAAAAAUAGGCAGAGGAUAGGAACAGAUAUUUUUCCAAAGAAGAUAUACAGAUGGCCAAUAGGCACAUGAAAAGAUGUUCAACAUCACUAAUUACUAGGGAAAUGCAAAUCAAAACUGCUAUGAGAUACCACCUCACACCCGUCAGAAUGGCUAUAAUUAACAAGACGAGAAAUAAUAAGUGUUGCAGAGGAUGUUGAGAAAAAGAAACCCUCAUACACUGCUGGUGGGAAUGCAAACUGGUGCAACCACUAUGGAAAACAGUAUGGAGAUUUCUCAAAAAAAUUAAAAAUAGAAAUAUCAUAUGAUCCAGCUAUCCCACUACUGGGUAUUUAUCCAAAGAACAAGAAAUCAACAAUACAAAGAGAUCUAUGCACUCCUAUGUUCAUUGCAGCGUUAUUUACAAUAGCCAAGAUGUGGAAGCAAACCCAAGUGCCCAUCAAUUGAUGAAUGGAUAAAGAAGAUGUGGUAUCUAUCUACAGUGGAAUACUACUCAGCCAUAAAAAAAACAAAAUCGUCCCAUUUGCAACAACAUGGAUGGACCUUGAGGGUAUUAUGUUAAGCAAAAUAAGCCUGACAGAGAAAGACAAACACUGUAUGAUUUCAGUCAUAUAUGGAAGAUAAACAAACACUUGGACAAAAAGAACAGAUUAGUGGUUACCAGAGGGGAAGGGGGUAGGGGGGUGGGUGAUAGAGGUAAAGGGGCACAUAUGUAUGGUGAUGGAUAGAAAAUAGACUGUUGGUGAGCACGAUGCAGCCUAUACGGAAACUGAUAUAUAAUAAUGUACAUCCAAAAUUACAUAAUGUUAUAAACCAAUAUGAC
ensembl:lncRNA